rnacentral:rRNA from 1 species
GAUGAACGCUGGCGGCGUGCCUAAUACAUGCAAGCCGAGCGAAUGGAUUGAGAGCUUGCUCUUAUGAAGUUAGCGGCGGACGGGUGAGUAACACGUGGGUAACCUGCCCAUAAGACUGGGAUAACCCCGGGAAACCGGGGCUAAUACCGGAUAACAUUUUGAACCGCAUGGUUCGAAAUUGAAAGGCGGCUUCGGCUGUCACUUAUGGAUGGACCCGCGUCGCAUUAGCUAGUUGGUGAGGUAACGGCUCACCAAGGCAACGAUGCGUAGCCGACCUGAGAGGGUGAUCGGCCACACUGGGACUGAGACACGGCCCAGACUCCUACGGGAGGCAGCAGUAGGGAAUCUUCCGCAAUGGACGAAAGUCUGACGGAGCAACGCCGCGUGAGUGAUGAAGGCUUUCGGGUCGUAAAACUCUGUUGUUAGGGAAGAACAAGUGCUAGUUGAAUAAGCUGGCACCUUGACGGUACCUAACCAGAAAGCCACGGCUAACUACGUGCCAGCCGCCGCAGUAA